AACGCGAAGAACCUUACCUAGGUUUGACAUCCUUUGACAAUUGCAGAGAUGCAACUUUCGUAGCAAUACGACAAAGAGACAGGUGCUGCAUGGCUGUCGUCAGCUCGUGUGGUGGCAUGUCGGGUUAAGUCCCUCAACGAGCGCAACCCCUAUCUUUAGUUGCCAGCAUUAAGUUGGGCACUCUAGAGAGACUGCCGUGGUUAACACGGAGGAAGGCGGGGAUGACGUCAAGUCCUCAUGGCCCUUACACCUAGGGCGACACACGUAAUACAAUGGUCGGUACAGAGGGAAGCGAAAUGGUGACAUGGAGCAAAUCUCAAAAAGCCGAUCUCAGUUCGGAUUGGAGUCUGCAACUCGACUCCAUGAAGGCGGAAUCGCUAGUAAUCGCGGAUCAGCACGCCGCGGUGAAUACGUUCCCGGGCCUUGUACACACCGGAGUGC
rnacentral:rRNA from 1 species